GACGAACGCUGGCGGCGUGCUUAACACAUGCAAGUCGAACGGACAGACAGAGAGCUUGCUCUCUUGAAGUUAGUGGCGAACGGGUGAGUAACGCGUAAUCAACCUGCCCUUCAGAGGGGGAUAACAACGGGAAACCGUUGCUAAUACCGCGUACGAUUCAUGAACGGCAUCGUUUAUGAAUGAAAGGUGGUCUCUAUGUAUAAGCUAUCGCUGAAGGAGGGGCUUGCGUCUGAUUAGCUAGUUGGAGGGGUAACGGCCCGCCAAGGCAAUGCUCAGUAGCAGGGCAGAGGGGAGGAGCGGCCACAUUGGGACUGAGACAAGGCCCAAACUCCGACGGGAGGCAGGAGUGGGGAAUCUUCCGCAAUGGACGAAAGUCUGACGGAGCAACGCCGCGUGAGUGAUGAAGGUCUUCGGAUUGUAAAGCUCUGUUAAUCGGGACGAAAGAGUUCUGCGUGAAUAAUGCAGAAAAGUGACGGUACCGGAAUAGAAAGCCACGGCUAACUACGUGCCAGCAGCCGCCGCAG
rnacentral:rRNA from 1 species